rnacentral:misc_RNA from 1 species
GAAAUGCGAUACGUAGUGUGAAUUGCAGAAUUCAGUGAAUCAUCGAAUCUUUGAACGCACAUUGCGCCCUUUGGUAUUCCAAAGGGCAUGCCUGUUCGAGCGUCAUUUGUACCCUCAAGCUUUGCUUGGUGUUGGGCGUCUUUUUGUCUCUCCCCUGUUGGGGGAGACUCGCCUUAAAACGAUUGGCAGCCGACCUACUGGUUUUCGGAGCGCAGCACAAAUUUGCGCCUUCCAAUCCACGGGGCGGCAUCCAGCAAGCCUUUGUUUUCUAUAACAAAUCCACAUUUUGACCUCGGAUCAGGUAGGGAUACCCGCUGAACUUAAGC